rnacentral:rRNA from 1 species
GAUGAACGCUAGCUACAGGCUUAACACAUGCAAGUCGAGGGACCGGCGCACGGGUGAGUAACACGUAUCCAACCUGCCCUUUACUCGGGGAUAGCCUUUCGAAUGAAAGAUUACUACUCGAUAUAAAGGAUGGGGAUGCGUUCCAUUAGGUUGUUGGUGAGGUAACGGCCCACCAAGCCUUCGAUGGAUAGGGGUUCUGAGAGGAAUGUCCCCCACAUUGGAACUGGGACACGGUCCAAACUCCGACGGGAGGCAGGAGUGAUGAAUAUAGGUCAAUUAGCGGUAGCCUGAACCGGCCAAGUAGCGAGAAGGAUGAAGGCUUAUGUGGCGUAAACUUCUGUUAUAUAAGAAUAUGUAUUAUAUGAAUAAGGAACGGCUAACUCCGUGCCAGCAGCCGCGGUAAUUC